rnacentral:tRNA from 1 species
GCCGGGAUGGCGGAACUGGGAGACGCAGGGGACUUAAAAUCCCCUGGCCUUCGGGCCGUCCGGGUUCGAGCCCCGGUCCCGGCACCA